AUUGAACGCUGGCGGCAGGCUUAACACAUGCAAGUCGAGCGAGCGGCGGACGGGUGAGUAAUGUCUGGGAAUCUGCCCGAUGGAGGGGGAUAACUACUGGAAACGGUAGCUAAUACCGCAUACCAUCGGAUGAGCCCAGAUGGGAUUAGCUAGUAGGUGGGGUAAAGGCUCACCUAGGCGACGAUCCCUAGCUGGUCUGAGAGGAUGACCAGCCACACUGGGACUGAGACACGGCCCAGACUCCUACGGGAGGCAGCAGUGGGGAAUAUUGCACAAUGGGCGCAAGCCUGAUGCAGCCAUGCCGCGUGUAUGAAGAAGGCCUUAGGGUUGUAAAGCACUUUCAGCGGGGAGGCGUUACUCGCAGAAGAAGCACCGGCUAACUCCGUGCCAGCAGCCGCGGUAAUAC
rnacentral:rRNA from 1 species